rnacentral:piRNA from 1 species
UGCUUCCUGGGUCCUGGAGGGUUCC